rnacentral:lncRNA from 1 species
UAAGACUCACAUAUCUAGACUAUUUUGAUGAACUUGACUUGGGAGCGCUUGGUUAAGAUAAGGCCGACAAGGUCCGCUAUCUAGAAUGGCCGACAUCGUUUUGGUUACCGUUCAAGGCGGUGGUCACUUCAACACAGGUAUGCUCUUUGCAAAGAAGCUCGCUUCUCAGGGCUGCCGUGUUACGGUGCUACUGCCGUGGCUGAACCCAUCUGGAAUGACCACGGACAUAGCAAACAUUGAAAUGCGCGCUCUCAUGGAGUCCAUUCCUUCCCCUCGACCGGCUUUCAUUUUCCCUGGAGUUCGCAAGUCUCGUCCCGACCUUUUGCCAUCAUCCCCUUUUCCCGCCCUGCCUGACUCGCUCCGGAAACACCUCGAUGUGCUGCGCCCCAAAGCGGUGGUUCUCGAUCGAAUGGUGAUGUUCUGGGCAAGUCAAACUGUUGAGGAGAGAGGCAUCCCAAAGUAUAUCCUCUACACAGGUGCUUCGGCGCAUCUCGCUGUCAUGCUCUCCUUCCACGGCCCCAGCCGAAGCGGGAAUGUGGACCAAGACAUGCAGAGCGUAGUUCAUGUUCCCGGACUUCCACCUCUUCGAUGGGCUGAGCUACCUUUGGACGUUGUCAUCAAAUCCCAUGGGUAUCAUUCUUUCUAUGUUUCUGUUUGUUUCCGUGAUCUUUGUUUACAGAUUCUACUUGGGUAAAGAAGGCGUAGCCAAGCAUUUUGUCCACUCCAACGGGAUACUACUGAAUACUUCCGAAGAGCUUGAAGGACCAGUAAGACGGGCAUUUAGUGGGGGGUGAUUUCUCACGUGUCCGUGCAGAUAUUGGAUGCUUUACAUUGCGAGUACCCCGAGAUACGGUGCAUUCCCGUAGGACCUCUGUAUCCAUCUUCCUACCUCCAGGACGAUCGACCCUCUCAAGAAGACAUUCGAGGAACAGCGGUCUCAAUCGGCAAGAACAGCGAGGAUUCCACGGCGCUUGUCUCAUGGCUGGACAAGCAACCCACGGCGUCGCUGGUCCUCAUAUGCUUCGGCAGCUUUAUAGUCUUGGGCGAUGAGAUGAUUCGAGAGCUGGCACACGGACUCGAAUCGUCCGGCUUUAGAUUCCUCUGGUCGCUUCCAAGUCCCAGGAACGAGGAGCCGACCGCCUACCUGAACCGCGUGCUACCUCCAAACUUUGCGGAGCGAACCUCCGGUAGGGGGAAAAUCCUCACAGGUUGGGUGCCUCAGCAGCUGGUUCUCUCUCAUCCGGCCAUUGGUGCACUAGUUUCACACUGCGGGUGGAGUUCCGUGGUGGAGUGUAUUCUGCUGGCUGGUGUUCCCAUUCUGGCCUGGCCGUUCUUAGGUGACCAGCUCCCAACCUGCAGGCACCUUGUGGACGAGUACAAAAUUGCGGUGGAUAUUGGGGUGGAUGGUGUGCCGUCCGCAGAUGACGUCGAGCGAGGCUUGCGUGCUGUAAUGGAGGACCAAGAGCUCAGGAACCGUGCCAAGCAAAGGAGGAAGCUGGUCCGACAGGCUGCACUCUCCACCCAGCCGGGCAGCUCAGGGCAUAACUUGGCAGAGUUCAUCAGCUCGUUGGCUGGGUAAUAGCGUCUCCUCCACAUCUGUCAGGACUCCGGAGAAAAAGAUGGCAGCGUCUUGCGGAUAUCGACCCAGAAAGACAUAGUAGUAACAAGAGAUUACUGAACUCUAUGUGGUUUGAGGUGGUGGUGUUUGUAAAUCCGUGGCUUCAAAACGUGAAGUGUACAACGGUGGAAGCGCGAUUGUUCACGCGAGUGGAUCGGAGCUGCUACGCAGGACAAGCACUGCAUCUUUGCAGAAAGGAUUCCUUCCCAUGCUGGGCAGUUUAGGAACCAAGAGAGAAGUCACAGCGUUUGCUUUUCUUUGAUGCAUUCGCUGUAAUGAUCUCGUUCCACCCGGAGAGAGACUGCAAUAUGAGUUUGCGUGAUCAUCUUCGGGUUGCCAGAAGUUGGCUUGGCGUAGGCUACGGACCCAAAAGCUUAGACGUGACAAAGACUUUGCUGGCUUGCUGCUUCACUGACGAACUGGAACAUCGCGUGACAAAGAUUUGGAUGGCAAUCUCAAAGACGGUAUCUUUUUUCAAUGACCACUGUAAUUAUCACAGCCAGUGGCGCAAUUAGCCAACAGAACUUAGUGACACCAAAAUCUUCAAAGACAAUUACCUAAUCACUCCCUUUCACUGCUCUCUUUCACCGGCAGCGUUUUAAGUUUACGCCAUGUAAUGACCAGUGUGAUUAUCACAGCCAGCACCGUAAGAACAGAAAUAACGUAGAAGCUGGCCCACAAGGGUUUCACCUCGUACGUAGCUGUGGUGGUGAGCAACACCACGGUACCAUCACUAAGGACCUGAGGUACUGUUUGCGCUUGCAAGAUGUCCCGGUCCUUCUUUACACUUUGCACGCUACUAUAUGCUGUAUAUGACAGUAAAACUGCACAAAAUGUGAGCUUAGUGAAUCAACUUGUGGCAAGAAGAGGUUCAAAUUACCUGCAAAACCGAGUACGAGGAGUGUCCUAUAAAGGAACUUAAACCAAAAGAUGGGGUCCUGGCUUGAAAAAACUGAUCCCUUGCUCGACUGAACAGCCUGGCCGUCGGUGUUGGUGUCCCCAACGGCGCCACCACGGUGCCAGAAUUUCUCAAAGGACUCUUCAAUAUCCUGCAACUUGGUACUCGUUGCCAAUAAACAUGUUCCCACGAAGGACACAAUCGCUGACAAAAUCCCGCCAUAGACUUCGUGUCUGUUGUUUGAUCCAUCAUUCCACAGCUUGUUCUGCUUGAACUUAACAUCUCUGAGCUGUAACAUGGAUUCGACCAUCAGUUUAAUCUCUGUGCUGAUAGCAGUGUCCAGCUUGGUCACACAUAGCUUGUCCUUGAACUCGAGCUGUCCCAUAGGCAGAUCUCCGAAACAGGGUGUACUGAUCUUGUUCUGGGGGGGAGUGGGAGCCCAGAGGAACCGUCUCAUCUUGUUGAGAUAGUACUCACUAUCUUGAGUGCUUAAUACCAGCUGAUCAGUACUGCACCUGUUCUGAACCUCCACACUGGAUGGCACCGGUAUUUGCUGCAUCAAUGCUUCCACACAGACUGUUGUGUUCGCCAUGGCCUGGAAGUCAUUCGCUGUAACCCCAGUGAGGGAGGACCCGAAAGAGGUAUUCCCCUUAAAGGUUGCAACAAAUGGUAUAGGCUUGUCAGAUGAGGUGUUGUGUACGGUAAGAACAAGCCAAGUGUUUCCACCGGUGUUCCAAGCCCAGUAAGACGUCAGCAAAUCGCAGGAGGAACGAUAGUCGAACAAUCCCCAGCUGCUGGUGUCCAUGUUCCUGGUGACCACGACACAUACCCUGGUGGAGGAAUUGGAGCAGCCGCAUUGGAGGCUGGGAAACCCGAGGUAUGCUGUGGCGUCGUUGCUGUAGUAAGACGGUGCAAACCGACACUUUGGUACAUCCUUAGUGUUCGUAAGAUAAUAGUGGCUGGAGGUGUUGAGCUUCUGGUACUUGGUGAAGUCCGUCCUUGCACUGCUGGCGUAGUUGGAAAGGUAGAAUCCUGAUGUGCUACGCGGCAUGUUGUUCAGAUCUGGUUCAAUGCUGGGUGCAGUUGCAGCCCUGUAAGGUACAGCAAUAAAGAGCAGGCUGAGAUCCGCUUCGCUUUCCUUCUGAAGGAUGGGAGUAGUCCAGAGGCAUGACCGAUUGCUCUGGUCAUUACCAGUGGAUAGGCACAUGCGGAUGCUGAUGCCCCAGUCCACUCGCAUUCUCCAUUGCCAGUUGUGCCGGUGCUGCUUCAUGUGACCACCUGCAACGUGGGGCUCGGCCGAGGCAUACAGCUUGUUGGCUCCCUCAUCACUCGUCCAGUUGCUGAUCACUCUCCAUGCACUAGCUUGCUGGUAGGCGGAAUUGGCGAGCUCAAUGUCGAUGCCACUUGUCGUGGACAGGACACUGGCAAGGGAAGAACGCAGAGACCAUCUGUAGAACGGAUCGAAUUCGUUUACAAAGCUGUUUACUUCGGGGCAUGCAAAACCUUCUCUGGACGGGAGGUCGAGGUAGAAAUGCUCAUCGUCGGAUCCAUGACAAGAAUGCGCGAGAAGCAGGAGUAGUGUUGCUGUGGGCAGAAGCAGCGAGAAGAGAAUACUUGUCAGAGAGGGGUGAAACCAAUUGCAGAAGCUACUACUGCCUACAUUCUCUGCCUGAGCCAUUAUAGCUUAUAAUCCUAUGAUUCACAACUGCAGCCAUAUAUAAGGAUAUGAGGACAUUCGUUUUACGUGCUUUUUUGUUUUCAUACUACAAGUUGAAGGCGAAAGUGUUGUGGAUGCUUCCUAUUCCUUUAAAGAUCCAAUGGUUCCUUGUCUACAAACGAGCUUAAGAGCACGGAUCUUCCAUAAACCUCUUUCUUUAUGAAUGUUCACAUGGCAUCAUAGAAAGAAAAGAAUUCUUCCCAAAGUCUCCUCUGAUAUUCAGGAGAAUUUGUCAAUGGCUGGUGAUGUUAACCUGUAUGCAAGCAUUAGUUAUAUUAAGAACAUUGGACGCACGAAGUGACAAAUUAUAUGCAUACACGAGUUGACAAGUUUCGGUUAUCAUUAUUAAUCUUCUUUGUCAACCAACGCUAGCUGAGGCUGGGUAAGACCUUGAGUAUAAUGCACGAGAUUUGGACCGAGGAUGAAAAAGAUGCCGCCUUGGUAACAAUUAGUCAAUGUAUGAGGCAACUAUUUUUCCGCGAACUUUAACACGAUCUAAAGAUCUGAGCACGCACAACAGGUUUGCUGAACGCAUGCCUACAGCUAAAACCCAGCGAAUCUUUUUUGCAGCUUCCAACAUUAGUGAAAAUUUAUUAGAGAUAAGUUUUUAUCUGUUCGCAAUAACUUACUAGAACGCCUGCUUGAACUGCAUGAUGCGAAUCAGUAACAGCAUCUGGAUGAAAGAGAAGACAAUGCGAGUUUGGAAAUCAAAUCAAUCAAAACCAAGCUGCGAGACAUACAAUUUGUACGGUACAAUUAAUUAUAUAACUAGCGAGCAUAUGGCGUUGACCAUCCACAAUCUGGUCAACCAUAUUACUUUGACCGGCCAUGACCAGAAGAUUCCUUUACGCCCACCGAAAAACUGGACAGAGCGUUUGCAGCCUUAUCAACGUGGGUCGGCCAAAGAGGAAAAGCAAUGCUCUUGCCAGAUUGAACGGACGCACUCGUAGCCACGAGGUAGAGCGACGCCUGGCGUGGUACACAGCGAAACAAGGAAAGAGUGAAUCUUUCGGGAAGUGCAGCUAAAAGCUUUCCAGCGAUGGAAAAGUUCGUAUAGCUUUUGCGCGAUGACGCACAGGUCCGCUGCAUUAAAUCUGAAAGAGCGAAUGAGUGGGUGCUGGCGAAUAAGUUCAAAGAAAAACUAAAGAACCUGGAUCGAAUGUGAAGCUUUCAAAGAAAGGCUAUAAACCCCGCAGUAUCUGCAAGUUCAUGGCUCUUCUCUUCUCUGCGUUAUUAAAAACCGAACCGAAAAAGAGCACAAAAGCCUGCUGUGCCGUUGUGCUGCUGUGCUGCCGCGGCACGAACGAGACAGACAGGCCAAGAGAUUGAUUAGCGCUAAUUGCGGAUAUCGGGAAUCAUAAUUACCUUGAGCGAUGGUGGGUGAUCAAGUUUUCCUGGACGAAAGCCGCGGCGAGAGGCUGCUCCCUGUCUGGUGCAUUUAAAGUUGAUCUAUUCCCAUUCGGCGUCACCACCAUUCUCAUUCAUGGCCGCGUUCUCAGCUUGCAGAUCGUAGUCGCGGCUCAUUUGGUUGUUUUUGUCUUUCGCGCUUUUGCCAGGCCGUCUAUUCCCUUUUGUCAGGGACAUCCAAUCUACAGCAUCAGGCACAAACGGCAUGGUUUCCAAGAGAAGCUCGGCAACUUCCAGAUGCCCUGCCUUGGCAAUGAGGUCUACCAUGCACGCGUAGUGUUGCUUGGUAGGCUUUAACGCGAAGUCCCCUUGCAACGACACGAAGCACGGCGUCGAGUCCACCAACAUGUCCCAGGGAAAUCAAAAUGGGGGCAAAGCAGGAUUCACCAGCUGCUUCAAUGAAAUUUAUGGUUUGGAAAAGGUGGCGGGCUUCAAAGGAGUGGCCGGUGUAGGCAUAAGCAGCCAGCAUAACGCUCCACACGGUGAGAUCUCUCUCCAGCAUCAAAUCGAACACUUUCUUGGCUUCUAAAACAUGCCCAUUCAAGGCAUAUGCGAUGAGCAUGAUGGUCCGAGAUACUACGUCAUGCUCCGGCAUGGAAAUGAAAACAAGUUUUGCGUCGUUAAGAUGACCGACUUGGGCAUACGAAAUGAGCAUGUUAGUACAAGAAACAAGGUCUUGUUGUGGCAUGGAGUCAAACAAAAAUCGAGCUUUUUCAAGGUACCCUUUUGAGGCAUACGCCGCUAACAUUGCGUUUUGUGAAACUAAAUCCUUGCAUGGCAAAGAUUCAUAGACCACCCUAGCAUCGACUAUGGCACCAUACGUAGAGAGAAACGUGAGCAUAACAGUACAUGAUACUGUAUCCUGCAUUGGCAUUGUGUCGUAUGUACGUUUGGCUCGAUCAAUAUUGCCUUCUUGGAUAUAUGCGUUUAAAAGUGAUGUCCAGGAAAGCAUAUCCCACUGUGGCAUGGUAUCAAAUAAGGCUUUGGAAUCUUUCCCAGUACUGUGCUGGGAAAAUGCCGAGAGCAUUACGUUAUAUGCCACUAUAUCUCUCUGUGGCAUAGCAUCGAAGAGGGCCUUACACUCAAAAAGAUACCCAAUGCGGGCAUAUGCUGUUAAGACGAUAGUCCAAGAGACAAAAUUGGCUUCCGGAAGAGCGUUGAAAAAUCUUUGCAAUUCCAAAACGUAGUCCUCUUGGUCAAACCCAGUCAACAUUGCGUUGAAAGAAGCCACGUCCCAUUGGGGCAUCUUGCCAAACAAAAGCUUCGCAAUGCUAGUGUCUCCCUUCGCGGCAUACGCAGAGACCAUCGCGUUCCACGAGACUAUAGUUUUUUCGGGCAUACAAUCGAAAAAUCUCUGCGCGGCUGCGAGGUCUCCGUGCUGGAACUAAUCUCGAACUAAUCUCCUCGACAUAUUGCAACGAGUACGAGGAUGUGGCACGGAGGGUCGCUGCCGAGACAGUUUCCAUCGAGCUCAGAUGGAUGUAAGUGGGUUUGAGCAAUCGAUCUCUUUUUUCUUUCACCACAUUCGAGGAUGGAUUUCCAAACUUGUUCGUGCUGGGAUCCGUGGCCAGCACGUUGCAUUCCUUGCGCCUUUCAGCUCUCCCGCCGUGAUCUUUGAGAGCUCUUGGUGAUCUACGCUCUUCCCAGGAUGUUCAUCGCUUCCUUCACGGUCGUGGUGCUGUUCUUCCCGACUGGAACGUUGGAGCGCAUGGAAGACGAGGGUGACAUCGGCUUUCACUCUCCAACAUUCCAAUCUCCAGGGGUGGUCCGACGAGUCUCGUCAUCUUUGACAUCCACGCUCUCCAGGUUUGCUUGUUUCUCUUUUCUUUUCGCUCUUUUCGCUCACCCGGACUUGCAAAGCAGGAGAGGUUUUACUUUGGUGACAGCGUUCUUCCCUGCUUCGACAGUGGCAUCCCGCUGCUGAAGCUUCCGGAUUCCAAAAAUGUGAGACUCAGUCGAGAGCUUGCAAGCGAUGUCCCAAAAAUCUCUUACAGGUGACUAUAGCGAGGGAGCUUGGAAGCGCCUCCACAAGCAAUUCGAGCACUUCCCCACGGUUAAGUCCGUGACUUCUUCUCUCUAACUGUAUUUCGCUGGUGGAUCAUACGUUACACGCCAGCUGCGCCGCUGGGGCUCGAAUCUCUCUAGCCUGCGAAUCAGAGAUCUAACUGUUCAUUGUGUGAAGAAGAAGCAUCACACUGGCAUAUUCGUUCGACCGGCAUCUUAAAUUUACAUAGCUGAACUGGCCACGUGGAAAAAAAACAAAGCAUGAAAAUAGUGCUAGACGAAACCCUUGGCUAACAACAAGUCAAGUUCAUCAAAAUAGUCUAGAUAUGUGAGUCUUACAGGAGUCUGACAGGAGCGCUUGGUUAGGAUAAGGCCGACAAGGUCGGCUAUCUAGAAUGGCCAACAUCGUUUUGGUUACCGUUCAAGGCGGUGGUCACUUCAACACAGGUAUGCUCUUUGCAAAGAAGCUCGCUUCUCAGGGCUGCCGUGUUACGGUGCUACUGCCGUGGCUGAACCCAUCUGGAAUGACCACGGACAUAGCAAACAUUGAAAUGCGCGCUCUCAUGGAGUCCACUCCUUCCCCUCGACCGGCUUUCAUUUUCCCUGGAGUUCGCAAGUCUCGUCCCGACCUUGUGCCAUCAUCCCGUUUUCCCACUGCCCUGCCUGACUCGCUCCGGAAACACCUCGAUGUGCUGCGCCCCAAAGCGGUGGUUCUCGAUCGAAUGGUGAUGUUCUGGGCAAGUCAAACUGUGGAGGAGAGAGGCAUCCCAAAGUAUAUCCUCUACACAGGUGCUUCGGCGCAUCUCGCUGUCAUGCUCUCCUUCCACGGCCCCAGCCGAAGCGGGAAUGUGGACCAAGACAUGCAGAGCGUAGUUCAUGUUCCCGGACUUCCACCUCUUCGAUGGGCUGAGCUACCUUUGGACGUUGUCGUCAAAUCCCAUGGGUAUCAUUCUUUCUAUGUUUCUGUUUGUUUCCGUGAUCUUUGUUUACAGAAUCUACUUGGGUAAAGAAGGCGUAGCCAAGCAUUUUGUCCACUCCAACGGGAUACUACUGAAUACUUCCGAAGAGCUUGAAGGACCAGUAAGACGGGCAUUUAGUGGGGGGUGAUUUCUCACGUGUCCGUGC